GCUGAUUCGGUCAGUGAUAAUGCACAAAGUGUUUGUGAGCCAAGUGUCAGGAUCUGUAUCGUGGUGAAAAGUAAUCAAGUUGACCAAGGGUAAGGAAGGAGCCCCGACACGCGUUUCGCCAGUUGGGUGGCUCUUCAGGGCUCUACCUUCACCAACUUAACCUAUAAUUCAGGGUAAACUUUAGCAUUUUUGUACAUCGUUUUGUAUACUUCUUUUUUAUUUACUUCUGUUUUCACCACUGUAUAUAUAUAUGUAUAUAUAUUUUUUGCUAAUGGCUAAUGCAUAUAUUGUUUUCAAUAAACAUUAAGAUGUCUAACUUGUCUGCUUUUAUUUUUUGUUCCCUUGCUGAGUUCCAGG